GACCGGGUCAGCUGUUCUGGAACUAAUGACGCUGACGGAUUUUGAGUUUGAUGCACGGAUUUCGAGAAAAUCCAAAAAUAUAUGUUUUAUAUGUAUUUUUGUGUGUUUCUUUCGAUUGGAACGAAAGGUUGGAUUUUGUCGUGAAUCCGUGGUCGAUCGAGACGAAACGAAAUCGUAGAUUUGUUGUCUCCGUCGUGCUGAUCGCACUGGUGCGAUCCGUUCGCAAAUCUGACGGAUGGAUCUGCGGAGAUCACGCGUUGAUCGAGGAGAGGUCGGUGGUGGCAAAACGGUAUUUUCGCAAAAGUCGCGAUAUUUUAUGUACUGUUUUGCGUGAGAUCGCACGUGGAGGGUCGUUCACGCGUUUUAGUCGUUCGGUGAGGGGCUCGGAUUGAAAUUCCGGUGUUUGGUGGACAUUUUUGCUAGUUGCGCCUUGUAUAUAGUUGUCUUUUAGGGUUUUGUCUCACCUAACCCUAACCCUAGUUCUCCCUGCGCCCCCAGCCACCUUCACCCUUCCCCCUGCCCUUGCUGCACCACCCCCGGCCGCCGCCGACUGAUCUCCGGCCAGCCACCACCACUUUCCUCCCUCUCCCUCUCUUUCUCUCUCCCUCUCUCCUCUCGGGUUGUGUGAAGGCCCGGGGCUGCGCCUCCUGCAGACCCUCCCCCGGGAUCGCACCGUGCUCCUGCGACCUCCCCCGCCGACCGCCGCCAUCGCCGGGUGCCGCCGCUGCUGCUCCUGCGGUCUGCUGCAACCCAGGCCGAGCCUGGCCGAGCCGGGUUGCCACAGCCGCCAGCGCGCCGCCACCGCCUAGAAUCACCUCCUGUCGACUCCCCCGUGCCCGAGCGCCCCUUUCCGCCGGUCGCCGCAGCCCCGACGCGCUGCCGUCGCCGCCUCGGCCAGCUGCAGCCGCCCCAGCCCGAGCCCAGACCGAGGCUUGUGUGCGGCCUCUCCUCUGCGCCGCCGCCACCGUGGACCACCCGCGCCGCAUUCCCGGAUCCCCAGCAUCCCUCCCCACCGGUCCCCGCCGCCGCUGCGGGCCGCCGUCGCCGCCUCGGCCAGCCGUGGCCGCCCCAGACCCGCUCGGUCCGAGGCAAGCCCGCGGCUUCUUCCCCGCGCCGCUGCCGCUCGAGGCCGCACUCCUGGCACCCCUUCGGCCUCCUGCAACCUUCCUCCACCGUCCCGGAGCUCCCCGGCCGCCGCCGUGGCCGUAGCUUCGCUGGAAUCCGAGUUCUUUUUGGUGCGGGCUCGGGUUGCUCCGCCGACGCCGCCGCCGCUUCUCGUCGCCAACCGAGGUGAGCACGGAGUUCCUCACCUCCCCCUCACCCGACUCAGGGCCCCGCGCGCGCCGCCGUGCCGCCGGAGGCCGGCCGGAGCAAGGUUGCUCCGGCCAAGCCCGAAAUAGGGCUUAUUUGAGUGGGUUUCUUGUUCUGGGCUUCCCGAGCUUCCCCGAUCUGUACGGAAGGGAGCACGAUGAUCGUAGCUAGUUGCUGAUCAUCGUGCUCACCUUGGUUUCUGUCGGGAAGGCCCCGUUCCGCUGUUUUGGCGAUGUCGCUCCGUUUCAGCAUUUUUGGCUGCUGUUUCGGGUUUGUACUUAUUUUUUCGGCGAUCCGAGGCUGUUCCAAUGCCUCCGGAUGUGAGCACGGUGACCGCUGGUCAGUGCUGACCACAAUGCUCACCUUCCCUUGGAUCAGAAGUGUCCGGUUAGCCCUGUUUGGCGUGAUCUUCCCUGACUGCGCGCUAUUCGCUGAACCUUCGUGUUGCUCCCGCGCUUCCCACAGCGAGCCGCUGUGCUCCGGAUCAUGAGCACGGACUCCGGUACGUCGAGACCUGUCAGUACGUGUCUCUGCGGACUUCGAAAGUCCUCGGUUUGCGUGAACGAGCCGCUUGAUCGCUCAAAUUACAUAAAAUGAUGAGAUUUUAUGUAAUUAGAGGGUCUUUUAUGCAUUUGUGUAUUGUGUGGCUACCGUGGGCAGCGUGUGUGAGUGUGUUUGACCUCUGGACUGGUUGUCCAUGACCCGAUAGUCUUUGCGGAAAUCGAAAAGUCAAUUUCGGUGCGUUUUUCGGCGAAAUUCGCCGAAAGAACGCGGUUUCGGUUCGGAUUCUUUUCGACGGUGUUUGGUUGCUUUGUGUUUUGUCGCUGAGCCUUGUUGGCUGGUCACCAUCAUCAUUUUGUGGGUUCGGUGAUGAUAGGUGAGCGACGGAGGGUUCCGGUGUCGAAAUAGACACUUCCGGGAAUCCGGAUUCGUACGAUUAUCCGACGAUGAUCGUAUUGUUGUGUUACCUCGUGUUCGCUGCCAAGGCAUCCAAAUUGGAGUGCUUUGGGGCAGCGGGUGACUCGUGGCACGAGUCGGUGAGUUCGGGACACUUAGUGGGUCCCGACGGCGUCCCGGUGUGGUUUUCGGGACUUCCGGUGAGUUACGAUGAUCGAUUUUGGAAAACCGAUUCGGGGAUCCUGUGUAGGGGUUUGUGAGUCUCGUGCUUUGGAUUAGUGGAUUGGAUACUGACUUGGUGGAUCUUCUUAGGUCCGGUCGACUUGUGCGUACCCGGUGUUCCGACGCGACAGUGACAGGUGGGUGCUUCGAGCUGGUAGUCGGUGAGAGCGUUUCACCUCCUUCUCCUGUUUUUCUAUUCCCGUAUUUUAGUCUCUACAUGUCAUUGUUUGCUUGUCUUUCGUAUAUCGUACCUCUUUGAUUGCAUUUGGUUAGUAGUUGAUAGACAUGUAGAGCAGGUUGCAUUUGUAUUUCAGUAUCUCUGUGGACCUUGGGUCCAGGCAACACAUCGACUCUCUUAUCGUGUGUUUCGAUCUUGUUGAUCGAGGUUCGGCGUUGUACGCCCUAGCAUCCAUUUCAGUUUGGCAUUGUACACCCUCGUUGUUGGCUUCGGCCUAGGCACCGGCUUUAGCCGGGUUUGUUUUUGUUUGAGCAUACCAGCAUGACUUAGUCACGGCACUUGGGGGUAUUCAUGACACCGGAUCGGUUUGGCCACCGAUCGGAGGUGUACUUAUCCGGAUGGGUCGUCCUGCGGGGCGGAUGGAUCAGGUCGGUGCAGUUAGUGACAGGCAGCGCUUGAGGUCUGCGGACCAAUAUAGCAGGCACAGAUUGGGUACAGUUUCUGGUUCAGUACAUUGAGGCAUUCUUUGCAUUGUUUUCUAUACAGUAGCAGGUUCAUUUAUUGCUUCCUAUUUAUCUGUUGUAGCUACUGUAGUUCUAUUUCAUAUCAGCUUACAUAUAUAUACUUGUUUAUCUAUCUCCUUUGGUUUUCGGUGAUUACGGCUUGCCUUCGUGGCUCUGUCGUACCCACUGAGAAAACCAUGGUUGCGGUUUCUCACCCCCCAUUUCCCCCCCAGGUGACAUAGACGAGGAGUUGGAUUUUGGGCUCGACGAGAGGACGAUCUAGCUAGUCUGGUAUAGCGAUCGCCACCCUGGUUGUAUUUCUUUCCCGCCUUUAGUAGUAUUUAAUAAAUGGUUCAGUUAGAUUUUAAUGGUUGUGAUUUCGCUGUUAUCAUGAUUAGAAUGAUUUAUGAUUGUUUGAACGAGUUGGUUUUCUCGUAAUUGUAUAGAAAAUCAUGAGAUGCUCUUAUACAUGGAAUUGGACGGUUUAUCGAUCUUGGUUUUGAUCUUUGGUUUCAAAUUGAUGAUUAUACGCCUGUGGAUUAAUCAUACCCUCGAUAAUACAGAGGGUAGAUGAUUUCAAAAUAGAGACGAAGUUUCCGGCGACCGAGACCCCAGGGGAAACGCAAAGCCACGCGGCAGGUUUAAAAGAUUAUUUUUGAAUGCAGUUUUAUGAAUGAAUGAAUUAGAGUUCAAAAAUAAAGCUUCUGUUGUGGGGAGACAUUUUUAAAGUAGGAUGGUUGUUGUAUUUGUCAUUGCAUCAUACAGCGUCCUAUGGUAGUAGUUAGAGGCAGCAUUAAUUCUAAGAUGUUGCUGUAUGAAAUGAUAUCAUGCUGUUGGUUGCUUGAUUAGUAAAUGAUUAGGUUGUGGUUUUGAGAUCCUGUUGUAUCGGUUGGUACGCCGUGCAAAUUACAAAGGAGACUUCUGCCGAUAAGUGGGACGAGAACUUGUAUUAUGUGCCCAGCGCCCGGUAUAAUGUCACGGUGGGCCAGAGUUGAAAAAAAAAAAAAAAAAAUGGCACGUUUCCGCAACUCUGUUUUCAAAAGGUUUUAAAUCGAGCCCCGGGGCCACGACGUGACAUACCAAGUAGAGAUAAGCUAUAAAAUUGGGCUCGACGCAAGUACAUAAUACAAACUUAAUAAAUGGGACAAUUUACUGAACAAGGAGUGAUGUUGAAUCAAUUCCAUGUCAAUACUUUCAUUUUUCGAGUUUUGAUUAUAUUAAAGGCAAAGCAAACAAUGACUGCCUGCUUUAGGAUAACCCAAUUUGAUUCUUCCUUUUAAUUCUUUUUCAUUAUUAAAGCGACAAAAUUUAACUCUGCAAUAACACUCUGUUAACCCUCAUGUUGAUUAGAUGUGCUGGGAAGUAUUGCUACUAUUUGUCCUAUUUCUUAUACAUAUGUUGGUCCUGAGCUUACUCCAAUAAGAAAUAUGGAGAUAAAAGAUUUAGAGUAAGUUGAAUACUAUUUUAGCAUCUAAUUGUGUAACUUUUAUUCUUACCAUAUGUGAAACGAUUUAACUUAAAUAGUAAAAAUAUGGUAGGGAUAAUACUUUUCUAGUGACUUUAUGGGACAAAUUUGCUAUGGAAUUUGACGAAAAUAUAAUUUACGAAAAAGAAGCUGCUGGACCGAUUGUAAUUAUCUUCGCAAGUAUGAGCGUGCGAAUGUAUAAAGGUUUGUCCAAUGUUUGCUUAUGUUAUAAUUGUUUGCGUUUAUUUCCAUCGCUAUUUAUGGUUCUUACACUUAUAUUUUACAUCUAUAUCCAGAGAAGCUCUAUCUGUCGACAUAUUCAACAUCAAGGUUUUACAUUAAUUUAGAAAUACCAGAAGUUACAACAUUUCGAAAUGCAUUGGAUAGGUAAGUCGCAUAAUCAGUAUAGUUUAUUUGAAUAUUUUUCAUAACUUACUUUUAUACAUACUUGAAUGCAGAAGCCAACUACCUAUUGUACCAAUUCGACAUAUUGAAGCGGCACAACAAAUAACUAUUAGCCCGUAUGAACAAAUGCUUAUGAAUCGUAAAACUGUUGCUGAAUUACUUGCAUUAAAUCCAAUGGAAGCUGAGGUGGGUAUUUUUAGAAUAUAUUUAAAUUGCAAAUUUUAUUCUUUAUCUCUUAUAUGCUCUAUAAAUUGCUAUAUAUAUUAUUAAUUCAAAAUAUAAUUGAAUAGAUGUACUUAUUCAUUAUUCUUUUUUUAUAUAGAAUACGAAGUAUACCUGUCAAGCUAAAUUAGUAGAAAUUGAUACGAUAUAUGGGUGGUGGUACAAGGCCUGCUAUGAUUGUAAAGGAGGAGUGAAAGAUUAUGAUGGUACGUUUUGGUGUAAUCAAUGUGGAAAAAAUGAUCAGUCACCUGUACCAUGGUACAUUUCUAGACCCAAAUACUACAAUUUCAAACACAAAAUAUUUCUUUUUAAUUCGAAAAUUAUAUUAUCAUGUACUAAAUUAAUAUAAAGAUUAUUUUUGAAAAAAGGUACAAGUUAAAUGCCAUUGUUGCGGAUGAGACCGGUUCAGCGAACUUCACUAUUUUUGGCAAAACGGCGCAAGAUUUGAUACGAAUCCCUGCUCAACAACUUGCUACUGCAAUCAAUUCAAAUAGAUUUAUACUUCCUCCUAUUAUUAAAAAUGUUGUUGGUCAAACUUUUAUUUUUCAAGUUUCACUUGAGUCUCGCAAAUUUAAUACAACUAUGCAGUCAUUCAGAGUCACAAAAAUUUUUCAAUUUGCUUUGACUGCAAAAAUCAAAAUAGAAGAAAAGGAAGAAGAUGUCAUAGACAUUACAGAAGAUGGUGUAAGGACAAGUUCUAAAGAAUUGCAAAUAGCGUAAGAAAAUUUCUCUAAUAUCUUUUUUCCUUUACAUACUCUCUUAAGUGUUUUAUUCAAAAAAUUGAUUUAUUUCAAUUCUUUUGCAUGUAAAUUUUUUUUUUUUUUUGCUAUGUGAAGUUCUAAAUCCUAUCUGGAGGAAGGUGUGAAGGAAUCAAGAGGCAAAAGAAGAGUACUUAGGUAAUUCAUCGGUGGCUAUAUAUUAAAUUUUAAAAAGUACAUAUAUUUGAGCAUUAUACCAAAAAUAAUAUUUAUUGACUUACUUUUCUACGUGCAUUUCUGUAAAUUAUCUUUAUAAAAAGUUCUCAGCUGAAGUCAGAGGAAGCUAUUAAUCAAUCAAAGGGUAAAAGAAAAUCACGUAGGUAACAAUUAUAUUAAUAUUGUUUUGGAAAAGAGGUCAAUGCUUACUUUAUUUUUCAAUUGGAAUGACUAUAAAAUAACUGGCAUUUGUUUUUUAUUUUGUAGUUACAUUGUGUAAGGAAGUGAAUUCUCGAAAUCCGAGGAUUGUACUUCGUCCAGGAUCGACUGACUGUCGAGAGAAUACCCUUUGUGGGAGUUGGGAAUGUCCAAAGCACAAAAAGUGCCUUGGAGUUGAGUCCGCGAGAGCAAAUGAGGCAAUUACAUCAUUGGGCUGAUGUUGCUCUCGGGGACCGGUCUCUGCAGGUGAGAGACCGGUUCCCCUGGCUGGGUGUAGCGGGGUUGCGUGAUGCAAUCGGUCCCUAGCAGGGAGGGACCGGUUCCCGAACGUGGUCCCAGCGAGAGAUGCCAAAAAUUGGCUAAGUCCUGAAAAUUGAGCUCUCGGGGACCAGUCUCCCAGGUGAGGACCGGUCUCCCGAGGACCGGUCUCCCGGGGAGAGACCGGUUCCCGAACGCGUGCGCCCGAGGGAAGCUCUCGGGGACUGGUCCCAAGUCGGGGAGACCGGUCCCUCCGCGCGAAAACUGCCCAGUGAGGGCAGUGCGCAGGAGUGAAAGUUGAGGGGCUUUUAUGCAAAAUGGCUUUUAUUUGAGUGGGCUGAGCCCUCUCUCUCCCUCACACUCUCUCAUUUCACUCUCUCUUGCUCUCUUGCUCUCUCUCUCUCUAGAGAUAACAAAGAAGGAGAAGAAGAAAGAGAAGAAGAAGAAGGAGGAGGAGAAGAAGAAGAAGGAGGAGAAGAAGAAGGAGGCUAGGAGCAUCUUCCUCUCCCUCUCCUCUUCCCAUUGGUGUAGCUCAAGAGGUAAGCUACAACCCUAGCUUCUAGAACUUAGGGUUUUUGGGUUUUAUGCCUUGGAAUGGGUCAAAUGGACCCUAAGCAAGCUUCUAAAUAGAUCAAUCCCAAGAAUCUAGGGAUUUAUUAGGUGGGUUGCUAUAUGUGCAACCUAGGGCUCCAAAUGGGGGCAUUUUGUAAAGUAUGAGAUUGAUCUCAUUUGAGGCCUUGUAAACCUAAUCGAUAGGUGCCCAAACGCGGGGGCGAAGUCGAUUUCGCGAUUCGUCGAGUGGGCUUGGAGCAAUCGGCGAAUUACGGUCGUUUCGGCGUUACCUUGGACCAAGAAAGGCUAAAGCCUUUUCGUAGAGCUCGCCGAGAAGGAUUUUCCAAGCCUCUACAUCGAUUAAAGGUGGGGGGUGUCGUCCGAAACUUUCGAACUCCUUUCUAUGUCUUAGAUUGCAUUUAAUCUCAUCUCUUCAUGUUGCAUUGUAGGAUUGCAUAGUAGCUCCAUUCCUUAUGCUUUCUAAUCGAUAACCUAGUGUACUUGGAACGCUUGGUAAUUUAGUUAGGUGAGGAUUGGGUCGAGACAUGAUUCCUACGGUGCGAAAGAAAAGAGAUGGACCCGAUGGGGGUAUUGAUGACAUAGGAAGUAAUGAUAGUGUUAAAGAACACGAAUGGCAUCCGAAUGAUAAAUAAUGACGAGUGGCAUUAAUGUAGUGUAAAUAACACUAGAGGUCGAGGGACCUAGGGAUAGGUGGAUCCCUUAGAAAAUGCCUUGGGAACAAUGAAUUUAGAAAACUAAAUAGCAUUGUAUGAAUGUCGGGAACCGAUGAUUCCACGAUAGUUAUUGACUCUAGUUGUAGAGCCUCCUCACUUGGAGAGGAUUGGAUUGGGUGUAGACCCUAGUUACAGUGUAUCCUUACUUGGAGAGGAUAGAUCUAGCUCACAGUCUGCAUUUAGGAUGGUGUAGCCAUCCAAUCCCCACAUGGAGGGGAUUGUCGUUGAGUACUCCGGAGUGUCGUGCGACUAGGACCACUUGGAGGUCCGCAGACGGUCCCGGGCUUGGGUGCACUUGGAACUCCCUCCCCACUUUGGGAUUGAUAGGUGAGUCAUGGGCGAGCCCAAGGGCCUCGCCACAGAUUGCGUAAAGAAAAGUUAAAGGCUUAAAAAUGUCAUUGAACAUUACUAUUCGAACAUGAAUCGAAUUUGUUAGCAUAGUAGCAAACCUUUAUUAUAUGAUGCAUGCAUUCAUAUUCAUGAUUAUGGGCAUAGUAGCAUAGUUUUUCCUACUAUCGCAUUUACUGCUUUCAAAUACAUAUCUAUCUAUCUAUCUAUCUGUUGUUACUUGUGCCCACUUGGACCUAGUGGGGAGAUCGGCAGAGUCGGCGGCCGAGCCCACUGGGAACUAUGGAAGAUAGUUCUCACCCCACUCUAUUUCCAGUGGUAGGUUCAGGGCUGCAGAGAGAGGACCGCGGCAAGGGCGUCGCGCCCGACCAGUGAGGCCGUGGUAGUAUAGUAGCUUUCCUUUUGCAUUAGCACACCUAUGUACUGAGAGGGAUUCAUGUAGGUGAGGUUGGAGAGCUAUGUAUUUUGAGGAUCAAAUGUAUUCAUUUUGGAAAAAGAUGUAAAUGUAAAGAAUGCAACUAUUGUAAUAGUUAGCAAAGUACUCUCUUUAUUUCACUCGUAUAUCUUGUGGAUUACUUGCUCUUCUUGUUGUCUGCACUGUUUGUGCCCUCGUCGAAUGUGUAUGUUUAGAAUUUAAAGUCCUGGGUAAAUUCUUGUACACAUUCCGGUUGUUGAGCCUUGGGCGGACAGGGGAGGUGCUGUCCGUUCGGCGGUCCGCCGCCGCGGCCGAACCGUGCCAAAUUGGUAGUGGUUUCGGGGCGGGGCGUGACACAUUGAGAGUUCUGAAUCUGAAGAAGAAAAAUGAAGAUAUCGAUGUAAAGAUGUCACAACAACUAUUUUCUGUAGUUUUUUAAUAAUAUAUGUGAUAUACUUAUCAUAUUUUAAUUUCAUGUUACUUGCACAAUUAUUUUAGGUAAGUAAUGUUGAAUUUGUAGGUGCAACUUAUUUUCUACUCAGAUGCUAAACAUUUUGCAUAUACGGAUGCUCUCGCAGUGGCCCCCCCUAUUGUCUUUGCUUUCAUUGCCUGUCACUCCAGUUGAACCUAUUAACAUUUCAUUAACAGACAAAUUUUGUGUUGGCUAUAACUCACUUCAUAUUCCUUUUAUUGAUUAUAAUUGCUUUAAUUUUUUAAUAUUUAACUAUUACUUUUGUUGAUAUUUUACUAUUCGUUUAUUUACUUAUGUUGAUAUUUUAUUAUUUAUUAAAUUUUUUACUUUAGCAAUAACUAUCCGCCGCAUCGCGCGGGUACCUACACUAGUUUAAAUAUUAAUUAGAGUAGAAAUUUAAAUAGAUAAGGAGACCAUAGCAUGGUGGCAAUCACCAUAGCGCUUCUCUCAAAUAAGAUGCGGAAGAUGACUCAGCAUGGAGCCAUGAUAGGAACUACUGGUAAAAUCGAAGGAAGAGGCGAAAGUAUCGGCAACAUGAGAUAGACAAAAGAGGCCGCUAUCUGAGAUGGAGUGCUUCUACUAUCAUGAGAGCAACUAUCAGAAACUUCAGAAUGAUCUAAAGGGGAUGAAGUGGCAAAAGGAAAAAAAAGUCAUGGACCAAGAUGAGGAGACAUCAGCAUUGGCACAGGCGGCAAAAUCAGAGGUGAUUAAUUUUGAUGUCCAUGCAAUGACUGACGGUGCUAAAAUUGUGGAUGAUGUGUGGGUUCUCGAUUCGGCGUGAUCUUUUCAUGUCUACUCGGAGAAAGAGUCUUUUGCUUCCUAUAAGGAGAUCAAAGGUGGAAAAGCUCCUUUAGGGAACAGAACAGCGUGCAAUGUUUUGGAAUAUGGUGAAGAUAUAGAUGCCCGAUGAGUCAUGAGAACGUUGAUUGGUGUGUGGCAUAUUCCUAGUUUGAAGCGGAAUUUGAUCUCAUUAGAUGCAUUGGACAUAAAGAGUCGUGAUUUUUUAGCUCCAGGUGGAGCCAUGAAGGUCUGAAAACAAAAUCAGGUCGUGUGUGUUAGAAAAUUGCGUACGGUAAAAACGCAGUGAAAAAGAAAUCAAACAAAUUUGAUUUUUGAAAACUCUCGAGAUCAAAUCUCAAAAACCACGCAAUUAGGAUCCCUCAUGUUCUUUAAGAUUAAAGGAGAAAAGUAAGAUCGAAUCUUUACCUUAUUCGCGGAUAAAUCUUCACCUCAAUUUGAUGAUCGUGGAAUUCGGUUCUCUUGAAGCCGCACACGCGUCCGGCCUCUAUAGGUAUCCACUCGAGGUUCUUGAUUUGAUGGAUGUCCUCACCGGGGUGCUAGCUCCCUUACAAAAAGACGUCUUUCUUGCUAGAAGAUGGAAGAGAGAAGAGAUGAUAGAUGACGGCUAAGGUUUUCUAAAGACUCUCGUAUGUUAUAUAUAGGAAUAUAAUCCUAUUCCUAAUAAUAUAAUGACAAUUAAGGAUAAGUAUAAAUCUAAUUAAAUUUAUCCUUUCCUUAAUUGGUUAGAUCGAUCAAAUCCUAAUUUGAUUCGAUCUUUCUAUUAAUUUGAUCAUAUCAAAUUAAUAAUGCAACAUUUGCACAUAAGUCCUCUUAUAAUUUACUAACUAUUAGCAAGUCCUCUCUUGUAACAUUUACACCUUAAUACCACUAAUUUGUAACAAUUACAAAUUAGUCCAAUUAUCAACAUAUGAUAAUUAGGUUCUCCGGCGAUUCAAUAAUCGCGAUCUAACUAUCCGAUCAAUACACAACUUCUUAUGUGUGUGACCCCAUAGGUUCUAUUCUAUCUGGUAGUGAGAUAUUUUUGAUCACUAUCAACAAUAUCACUGAAACUCCUUUCAGUAGAUCGGUACAAUUCCAACUCAGCCCAAUGAAAAUUAUCGAUCAUCUAGACAAUUCUCACGAGUCUCACAAUCCACCAGUGACGCCUAGCAGCAUGUAGUGGCAUUCCAGUAAAUGGAUAUUGAACCUCUUGGUGCAGUUACCAUGUGAUACAAUCCUUUUAUCAUGAGUCCCGACUAGACGGAGUUAUGGAAUAACUCGUCAAACCCCAUCGUCUGUCAUAUGUUAAAAUUAUUCGACUCGAGUUUCUAAUAUCGGAAACCCUUUUCCGCUAUUAACUGCCCUGGCCAAGGUUUUCUAAACUUGGUCUCAUAAAUCACAUAGGACUAACACCCCUAUCUACCAAGGGAGAUAGAUUCCAUCUAAGUGCGCACCCUAUUCCUACAAUGAACCUACUGCAGCCAACAUGCACCGCAAGGACCCGAAUGGCUAGGACCAAGUGUAUGUACAGUCAAACUACAGUAACCUCAUUGUGCAUAGCCGAGCACUGCAGUCAAAGGACCGGUCACACUACUGCAACAAUUGAGUAAGUCACUGACGAGUGAGUAGACAUCCAAGUGACUUCUCGUAUUGGUCACACUUGGUACCCUUUCUCUAACAACCACCUGCAUAUUCGCUUCAGUGUCCCCACACUUGUAAGGACUGAGAUUUUUGACAGUGCUACUAAACUCUCUGUUGAUGAUGUUUAUGUGUGUAAUUUAAUUACAUAAGCACUCGUCAAGUUUCGGACGAAAAUGAGCUAAAAUGGAGAAGAUACGCGACUUUCAGGUUUCACUUAAGUGAAUAGUAACUCCGAUUUUCCGGGGAAGCCACGGAGUAGAGUUGGCUUCUGGCGCGUAUCGACUCCGUUCAUAUCAGUCCAAUAGCUCGUUUCGACCGGUUCAGCUAUUUUGGAACCAAUGGCACUGAUGGAUUUUGAGUUUGAUGCACGGAUUUCGAGAAAAUCCAAAAAUACAUGUCUUAUAUGAAUUUGUGUGUGUGUUUCCUUCUAUUGGAAGAAGGUUGGAUUUUGUUGUGAAUCCGUGGUCGAUCGAGAUGAAUCGAAAGCGUAGCUUUGUUGUCUCCGAGGUGCUGAUCGCACUGGUGCAAUCCGUUCGCAAAUCUGACGGACGGAUCUGCGGAGAUCGCGCGUUGAUCGAGGAGAGGUCGGUGAUGGCAAAACGGUAAUUUCGCAAAAGUUGCGACAUUUUAUGUACCGUUUCGCAUGAAAUCGCACGUGGAGGGGUUUAUGCAUGUUUUAUUCGUGCGGUGAGGGACUAAGAUUAAAUGGUUGAGUCUUGGAGGACUUUUCGGCAAAUUUACACUUACAUUUAUUGGUUGAUGUUAGAUUUUUUUGCUUGGAAACCCUAACCCUAGGUCGUUCCUGCUAGCCCUAGUCCACCAGCCGCCUCAGCCAUCUCCUGCCCUCCCCGUGCACAUGCUCCGGCCGCCGGCGAGCUCCUCCGGCCGCCGGAAAUCCCUGCAUCACCUCUCUUUCUCUCCUUUUUGGCCAACCCCUUCACCGCAUUGUGGUUUGCGGACCCUGGUAGCCACCUAGCUCGAGCACCUUUGUCCCCUGGCCGUGGCCCAGCCUUCGGCGACUCCCCUCGUCGCCGCCGUCGUCCCUGCGCACGCCGCCGGAGCCGCCCCAGCUCUCUGCGGCCACCUGCAUGCACCCAGCGAGCUUGGUCAUCUUUGCAUCACGCGCCGCCACCGUCCCUAUCGGCCGCGCCGCCCUUGGCGACCUCGCGCGCGCCUCCCCGCCGUCCCGCGCACGCCGCCGGUCGCACCCGAGCUCUCCUGCGGCGUCCCGAGCGCGUGCAGGCCCUGCUUGGACAGUACGGCCUUCGAGGGCCGCCGAGCCCACCGUCGGGGCACCUCCCUCCUCCUCGACCUCCGCGACAGACCGUCGCCUCCCGGAGCUCCUCCGGCCGCGCCGGACCGCGCGGAAGCCCAUGAACCGAGAGCAAGUCUCGGGAGUCGUCGGUUGAUCUGGCCGCCGCGCCACCGGCGCGCUUGCGCCGCCGAGGCAGCGCCUGCCCGCGGACCCCUCGACCUUCACGCUCGUCCCGGCCGGAGCGCCCACCUUCGGCAGCUGCGGCCAACCCUAGCUCUCUCGGAUCUGUAACUGAAACUUUAGUUACAGCACUCAGUUUUAGGGUUCCGGUCACCCUUCAAGCGAUCGAGAGGCACCCCGGUGAAUGUGGAAGUGAGCGACGAUCAUCCUGUUCAUGCCGAACGUCGUGCUCACCUCCGUUGGGGUCAACGAUGCCCUGGUUGCGAAUUUGACGGCAAUGUAAGCGCUAGUGCGCGCUAUUUCGCUGAGGUUCGCGUCGUGUGCGUUUGCACAAGGGUUGGCAGUGCUCGAAAGGUGAGCAUGGCCUCCGGCACAUCGAAACCUAUCAGUGGGUAUCUUGGCUCGCGCAGUUUGACCUCUGGUUUGCGUAGUUGGACCUAAAAGCCGAAAUCGCAUGAAAUAAUGCGAUUUCAGGUAUUCAGCGGCAGGGCUUUUAUAGCAUUUUGGUCGUCGUAGCUGCUGUUGCAGCAAGUGUUGUGUUGAGGAUAACUCUGGACUGAUGUUCAAGGCCCCAGACCCUUGCGAAGAUUCGAAAAUGCAUUUCCGGUGCGUUUUUUCGGCGGAAAUCCGCGACGGAACGAUCGGGUUCGGUUCGGAAUUAUUCCGACGUGCUUCGUGAUUGCUUUUUGUAGUCGCUGAGCCUUGUUGCUGGGUCACUUGCGUCAUUUCGAGAGUCGGAAUGACGAGACUGAGCGACGGUGGGUUCCGCGUGUCGAAUUAGACACUUCUGGGAACCCGAAUCGAAACGAUUAUCGGGAUAAAUUGUUUCGACACGAGGAGUUGUGUUCGCUGCCAUGAUGCAUGAUUAUUAUGUUUCGAGUGGCAGCAGGUGACUCGUAGCUUGAGUCGGUAUGUUCCGGGACAGUUCGUGGCUCCCGGCGGAGUCCCGUGCGAUUACGGACUUCCGUGCGUGUAUUCACGCGCGAUCGGUUUGGGAAACGAUCUCCAUGCACGGUUUGCUUGUAGGUUGUGGGAUUUAGUGGUUUUAGCUGUGGAUUAGACACUACCCCGGUGGACUUCCUUAGGUCCGCUUGACGUCCUUUUUGCGAAGUCAGGAGACAGGGCAGAUUUGUACAGGUGGCGUACUCGAUCGAUGUCUACAGUGGUUGCACGUCGGGUGAUAUUCUUCUAUCCCGUUCUUUUGUUGCUAUUUUCGUAUCAUAUAUUAUGCUUGAUCCCCGUGUUCUAUCAUACUCUACUCAUAUGUUUUCUAUGCUUAGUAUUCAUGUGAGGAAGUAAGUAGUUAUACCUUAUUUAGUACGGUGACCGAUUGAUCGUCGGUUCUCCGUACUUUGUUCUUCGGUGACCUGAUGCGUUCGCGUUCUGUACUUCGUUUCAGUGACCUAGUUGAUCGUGCUUUUAUCUUUUAUCUUGUUGGACUGGUUGGCGAGUGUCUUGUAUUUCCAUCGUCGACUGACUUUGAGGUCGUUUACCCUGGAGGGGUAGAUUGUCGGCUGGUGCUGACGUGUUCGUUGGACUAGAUAUAUGAAUUACACUCUGUGACUACGUGCGGUUCUUGCUUCGCUACUUUUAGUUGAGUCAUUUCUCGGGAGCAGUAUCUACUAGCUCUUAUUUACUCGGCCUGGUUGUUCUAUGGUAGUAUCACUGUAUACGGGUAGAGUAGAUAGCAUUCGUAUAUAUAUACUUGUGACCUGGUUGGUCGGUUCUCCUAUUUGCAUCGGUGACCUGUUUGGUCGUUCGUUACUUUCCGUACAUUGACCUAUCUCGGUCGGUUCACGUUGUUACUUGAUGACCUACACGGUCGGUAUGCCCAGAGGGGCAGUGAUUGUCGGCUGAUUGCCGACGGUUGGCUAUUGAUCAUAUCCGCAUUGAUCGCCACAGCUCGAGUGCAUUUCACGUACACCAGCGGGUUGAUCCCCCGCAGGAGGGUGUUCUUUUCCGGAAAAGUAGUCGUACAUCCGACCCGUGAGCCCAGCGGUGUUCUCUCUGUGCUAGGGUUACAUGCCAGGUGUGAGCAAGUAGUGGCUUUUGCCUGAGGUCCUUAGACCGACACGGCGGUUUAGAUUAGGUAUUUUUGGACUACUUGUCCGGUUGACGCAUAUAGUUAUAGUAGCAGUUGUUGCAUGUAUACUUGUAGUUCCUUCUUUACACUUGUCUUGCUACUAUAGUUUUGAUAUCCCUGUAUGUAUGCUUUUCGUUCUAUUUACAGUAGCGGUAGUUGUUCUCUCAUAUCUAUAUCUCAUUCGUCAUUAUCGUUGCUACUGUAUUUCACUUACCCAUAUACUAUUGUUUAUCUUCCUGAUCCGGUGAGUACUCCUCGCCCUCGUCGGCUUGCGGUACCCACUGGGAGGGGAGACAUGUUUACAUGUUCUCACCUCCCCCACUAUUUUUCAGGUAUUGCAGGCGUUGAGUUUUGGGACGAGACGUGAGGUACGUUCGUAGCGGUCGAUAGAGCUUUCGACCCAGAUUAUCGGUUUAGUUUUAUCCCUACUAUUCUGUUGUUAUAGUUUAGAGUAUUUAUAUGGUUCAGUAUUUUUAUUACAUUUGAAUAUGUGGAUUUUCAUGAAUAUAAUAAAAGGAUUUCUGGAUUUUGUAAAAUAAAAGGUUUUCUACCCCUCGUGGUAGCGUUUUUAAAGAAUAAAAGUUUUCGCGUAUGGAACAGUUUUCAAAAGAUUUUUCGUGGACUUUUGUUUAAACAUCGAAUGCAAAACUACGGUGUGAAUGGUGAAUGUAUGAAUGUAUAGCUAUCUGUAUAUUCAUUUAGUUGUGGUUGUAUACUGUUUGUACUUUUGUACUUGUGCGACGCCGUGCAAAUACAGGGGAGACUCUGUCCGUGUGAACAGUGGAUUCCCUGUAUUUGUGGCGGAUCUGGCAUACUCUGGGGUCAGGCUUUAAAAAAAAAAAAAAAAAAAAAUUUAAACGCUUUUCCGCUGUGUUUCAAACUAAAAAGGGGACCCCGGGGCGUGACAACACUGUCGACUCGAGACUCGUCUACCCAGAAGGGAAGCGACCUAUGCACCAAUCUCACCGGAUCAAUCACCGUCCUCAUGAUGAUCCAUUGAUCGGGAGCAUUUAGAAAUUAACCACCAAUGGCACAUGUCUCAAAUUCUCAACACUUGAGAAUAUAUGUCAUCAUCUUAUUAAUUCCUUGGACGAUUCAUAGACACAUACACAACAUGAAUGAAAAUAAAAACCCAAAGAUAUUCAUAAUAUUUAAAAGUCAAAUACAAAUUUAUGUCCUAGAAUGAAUAUAUGUGUCGGCCUGGCUGGCUUCUAAGGCAUACAUCUAACAGUGUGCGAGGCGAACAAGUGCAAGAACUUACACAUUCUAAAGGGGAGCAUAGUGAGAACGAGAGCGAAAACUGUUUGGGUACCAAAAGUUCGUGGAUAUGUAGUCACUCUAGAUAGAGCAGCAAAUGCGGCGACAUUGAGCGGAGGAGACAAGCUCGAGGUUGAUCUGCAUGGUGAGCUCGACACAACAUUUGAAAACUACAAAUCAAACCAAGGUGGAGAUUGCUAGGAUUUGGUUUAGCUUUGUAGUUAAAUUUUAGUUAAAUUAAAAUUAAUAUUUAAAUUUAUUGGAGAAAAUUAUGUAAGAUUUAAAUAUUAAUUAGACUACAAAUUUAAUUAGACAAGGAGAUAAUAGCAUGGUGGCAAUCACCAUGGCGCUUUUCUCAAAUGAGAUGCGGAAGAUGACUCGGCAUGGAGCCAUGAUACGGCACUACUGGUAAAAUCGAAGGAGGCGAAAGUAUUGGCAACAUGAGAUAUGGCGCUUCUCUCAAAAGAGACCGCUAUCCGAGAUGGAGUGCUUCUACUAUCAUGAGAGCAACUAUCAAAAACUUCAGAAUGAUCUAAAGGGGAUGAAGUGGCAAAAGGAAAAAACUGUCAUGGACCAAGAUGAGGAGACAUCAGCAUAUAUCUGAGUGAAUAUGAGAGAGACAGAGGGAGACGAGGAGCAUUUUCAUCAGAUGGCAAAAAAUACGGCUCGAAUCUGUAAAAUUGAAAAAGAUGGCCCACAUUUGCAAAAGCUCAAAACUAGUAAAUUUUUUAUUCAAAUUGGCCGAAAAUUAUUAGUGUGCCCAGAUAUUUAAAAAAAUUGGUUGCCUGUAACACAUCAUAUUUAGUCGGAAUACAAAAUUGGAAUAAUGGUGAGUGGGCAAAAUAUUUAUCAAAAUCGAUACUUUUAAAGUUAUAAUGUAUAAGCACCAUUCUACUAAGCCCUAAAAAUGUAUCAUCGCCACAAAAGAAAAGAAUACAAGCAUUUUAUUAUAACAAUUUAAACAAAAAGAAAUAAUCAUAUAAUCAAUAUUUACUUUACCAAAUUUUACUCUCAUACACUGUUAAAUAACUAUAAAAAAAAAAAAAAAAAAAAAAAAAAAAAAAAAAAAAAAAAAAAAAAAAAAAAAAAAAAAAAAAAAAAAAAAAAAAAAAAAAAAAAAAAAAAAAAAAAAAAAAAAAAAAAAAAAAAAAAAAAAAAAAAAAAAAAAAAAAAAAAAAAAAAAAAAAAAAAAAAAAAAAAAAAAAAAAAAAAAAAAAAAAAAAAAAAAAAAAAAAAAAAAAAAAAAAAAAAAAAAAAAAAAAAAAAAAAAAAAAAAAAAAAAAAAAAAAAAAAAAAAAAAAAAAAAAAAAAAAAAAAAAAAAAAAAAAAAAAAAAAAAAAAAAAAAAAAAAAAAAAAAAAAAAAAAAAAAAAAAAAAAAAAAAAAAAAAAAAAAAAAAAAAAAAAAAAAAAAAAAAAAAAAAAAAAAAAAAAAAAAAAAAAAAAAAAAAAAAAAAAAAAAAAAAAAAAACUAAAACAUAAAAACUUCAUAUCACUGUAACAGAAAGACUUGAAUACCAAAUCAAGGAAGAAAAUUACUAAGUAAAAUAUUAAUAAAAUUUCUUCAAAUGAAAGAAAAUUAAAUUUAAGAAAAUUAAGAGGAACAAUAAUUCACGACCUAUACAUCUACUUAUUCAAGAAAGGAAAAUCCUAUUAACACCAAAAAAUUAUUAAGAAUAUAAAAUUUUUAAUACAACGGAAUUAUAAUCAAAAUGCGUCAUCUAUUAACUAGUUGAUCAUAAUCUAAAUCAGUGAGAAAUUGCUAAAAUAAUUCACCCUAAUUAAAAAUAAUAAUUUACUCAAAAUGCUACAAAAUAUUGGGAAAAAAAAGUGAAGUAAUUAGUUCCAAUGAAGCAACGAGCUCAAAUUAAACAAAAAAAAAAUUACAAUUUUACUCACGACUUCCUGGGGAGGCGGCUAUCGUAAGCGGCGUACACGCGGAUGGGGCUAAGGAUUGCAGCCAAAAAUAGGAGAGAAGGAUGCAUGGAUGGGGUCUAAUCAAAGAGGAGAACCCGCAGAUGAGGGAUGAGGACUACAGCGGAAAAUUGAGGCAGAGACCACGCGGAUGGCUGUAGAACACGAGUUCGCCAAAGAAUCAGCGACGGAUGAAAGAAGAGUAAGAGAAAAUAAAGAUGGAAAAAAAGAGGAGGUAGCAGAGGGAAAGUCUAGAGGAAAAGAAGGAAAGAGAAGAAAAAAAAAGCGGUGGGGGGUGGGGGGCGAAGUUAUUAACUAUUUUUUAAUAAAAAAAAUGGCAAUUGCUUUUAUAUUCCUGAAAAGUUUUUGACUUUCUGAUUUACCCCUCUUAAAAGGCUAAUAUUGAAAAUACCCUUUUCACGUUCCAACCUAUUUCAAAUAUACCCCUAGAGUUAAAUUUUAUUAAUAAACUGUUAGCAAUAGUUGUUAUCUCUAUAAAAUUACUAUUUUACCCUUUCAAAUAUACCCUUCUGCCAUCACCGAUUUUUCUUAUUUGCCUUUAUAUUAGGGACACCAAAAGCAUUUUGAUUUUUUGUCUUUUCAAAUUUGCCCUUAAGUUAAGGGCAAAAGAGGCAUGUUUAUUUUUUUUUAACUCUAGUAGAUACUCACGUUUAAUCCAAGUUAACUUAAUGAGUAGUAUCCGCAAAUGUAUUUUUGAAUAACGGAGGAAAAUAUGAGGGGUAUAUUGGAAAGCAAAAAAAAAAAAUUGGGGUAAAUAAGAUAUUUUCUAAGUUUUGAGGGGUAUAUAGGUAAUUAUCUAUAACGACCGGACCCGCUAGCCGGUUGUUGCAGUUCGGAUCCGAGCAUUCAGAUCUGGGGCGUGACAUUAUCCCUUUAAAAAAAAUUACAUUACUCUCAUAUGUUGGAUUUUGAAGUUGUAGGAUGUACACCCCAAACAGAAGUAUACCUAUAGCACUACUCUUCUCGUAAAGGUCUUCCAAUCUUCAUUUUAGAAACCCCGGAUACUAGAACAUUGCACUGCUUUUUUUUUUACUUAUUGUGUUUAAUUUUUUAAAUUUUUUGCAUUAGAUGAAUUUCUCGUUUUUAAAGAAAAAUACAUAUAAUUAUAAUUAUUCUCUUGUACUUUUGAAUUUAAAAUGUAUAAUUUUUGUGUAUAUUUAAAGAGGGGCAAUUUAGUCACCUUUAUAAUAAAAAAAGAUUAAAUGUGCGAAACUCAGAAAAGCAGGCUAGAUAUGCAAACCACAAAACGAGUGGACUUUUUAUGCAAAAAAGAUCUUUAGGUAAAAAUAUAUACGGAACUCACAUGAAGUAUAACAUUUGAAAGUUUUAAUUUAGGCUAUUUGAGGGUUCAUUUACUCUAGAAUUUGAAUGCAUAGCUCCCUUAAGUGGCAAUAUAGUCACAUUAACCACUUGAGGUACCCUAAUAAAAUCCGUUAAAAUCAGCUGUGCUCUGGAAUUUUGAAGCGAACAAAAUUAUCAGACGGUCCAAAACAAAUGAACUAACUAUAAGGACUGAGAUUUUUGCAGUGUAGCUAAACUCUCAGUUGACGAUGUUUUUGUGUGUAAUUUAAUUACAAAAGUACUCGUCAAGUUUCGGGCGAAAACGAGUUAAAACGGAAAUUCUACGCGAUUUCCAAGUUUCACUUAAAGUGAAUAGUAACUCGAUUUUCCGGAAAAGCCGCGGUGAGAAGUUGGCUUCUGGCUCGUACCGGACUCUGUUCAUAGCAGUCCAAUAGCUCGUUUCGACCGGGUCAGUUGUUCUGGAACCAAUGGCGCUGACGGAUUUUGAGUUUGACGCACGGAUUUCGAGAAAAUCCAAAAAUACAUGUUUUAUAUGUAUUUUUGUGUGUUUCUUUCGAUUGGAACGAAAGGUUGGAUUUUGUCGUGAAUCCGUGGUCGAUCGAGACGAAACGAAAUUGCAGCUUUGUUGUCUCUGUCGUGCUAAUCGUACUGGUGUGAUCCGUUCGCGAAUCUGACGAACGGAUCUGCGGAGAUCGCGCGUUGAUCGAGGAGAGGUCGGUAGUGGCAAAACGGUAUUUUCGCAAUAGUCGCGAUAUUUUAUGUACCGUUUCGCGAGGGAUCGCACGUGGAGGGGCGUUCAUGCGUUUUAGUCGUACCGUGUGGGACUCGGAUUGUAAUUCUGAU
rnacentral:lncRNA from 1 species